UACAUAGGUCCCGAGCGUUGUCCGGAUUUAUUGGGCGUAAAGCGAGCGCAGGUGGUUUAUUAAGUCUGGUGUAAAAGGCAGUGGCUCAACCAUUGUAUGCAUUGGAAACUGGUAGACUUGAGUGCAAGAGAGGGGAGUGGAAUUCCAUGUGUAGCGGUGAAAUGCGUAGAUAUAUGGAGGAACACCGGUGGCGAAAGCGGCUCUCUGGCCUGUAACUGACACUGAGGCUCGAAAGCGUGGGGAGCAAACAGG
rnacentral:rRNA from 1 species